CCUACGGGAGGCAGCAGUGAGGAAUAUUGGUCAAUGGGCGUAAGCCUGAACCAGCCAAGUCGCGUGAGGGAUGAAGGUCCUAUGGAUCGUAAACCUCUUUUAUAGGGGAGUAAAGUGCGGGACGCGUCCCGUUCUGUAUGUACCCUAUGAAAAAGGAUCGGCUAACUCCGUGCCAGCAGCCGCGGUAAUCCGGAGGAUCCGAGCGUUAUCCGGAUUUAUUGGGUUUAAAGGGUGCGUAGGCGGCCUGUUAAGUCAGCGGUGAAAUUCGGUGGCUCAAACAUAGAAUGGCCGUUGAAACUGGGGUGCUUGAGUGUGUGAGAGGCAGGCGGAAUGCGUGGUGUAGCGGUGAAAUGCUUAGAUAUCACGCAGAACCCCGAUUGCGAAGGCAGCAUGCCGGGGCGUAACUGACGCUGAUGCACGAAAGCGUGGGGAUCGAACAGGAUUAGAUACCCGGGUAGUC
rnacentral:rRNA from 1 species